GCCACGUACCUGCCAGACCACUCUUCUCCGUCCAUCUCUCGCUCCAACUUGACGAUUCCCGGCGGUUCGAGGCCCCACCAUCCUUGCGCCAGACGACCCACCUCCAGCAGGCACAGGACAACGCCGCGGGCUCCGCUAUGGCACACUUUUCUUUCCACCGAAACU